GCAUCGGUGGUUUAGUGGUAAAAUUAGCCGUUGCCAUUCCUACAUGUCAAUUCGGCUAGCCCCGGGUUCGAUUCCCGGCCGAUGCA